GGGGGUAUAGCUCAGUGGUAGAGCAUUUGAUUGCUGCUCAAGAGGUCUCCAGUUCAAAUCUGGGUGCCCCCU
rnacentral:tRNA from 2 species